UACGUAGGGGGCAAGCGUUGUCCGGAUUUAUUGGGCGUAAAAAGCGUGUAGGCGGCCAUGCAGGUCAGCUGUGAAAACUCGAUGGCUCAACCUCGAGAUGUCGGUUGAAACCGUAUGGCUAGAGUCCGGAAGAGGAGAGUGGAAUUCCCGGUGUAGCGGUGAAAUGCGCAGAUAUCGGGAAGAACACCCGUGGCGAAGGCGGCUCUCUGGGACGGUACUGACGCUGAGACGCGAAAGCGUGGGGAGCGAACAGG
rnacentral:rRNA from 1 species